AGCUCCAAUAGCGUAUACUAAAGUUGUUGCAGUUAAAAGCUCGUAGUUGGAUUUCUGCUUGAGAGGGACGGCAGGCGUCAUUGACGUUUAGUCUGACUUCUCGUGCAUCCUGUCACGAACCACGUUGCUCUUAAUUGAGUGGCGUCGGGGAUUGACUCGUUUACUUUGAGAAAAAUAGAGUGUUCAAAGCAGGCUUACGCAUCUGAAUAAGUUAGCAUGGAAUAAUGAUAAAGGACUUCGGUUCUAUUUGUUGGUGUUCGGAACUGAAGUAAUGAUUGAUAGGGACAGUUGGGGGCAUCAGUAUUCCGAAGCGAGAGGUGAAAUUCUAGGACCUUCGGAAGACUAACCGCUGCGAAAGCG
rnacentral:rRNA from 1 species